UUUUGUCUGGUUGGUCCCUGGCCUACAUUUACAUCUUGGCUGUUAACAUCUAGUGACUACGGUAAAGGUACAUUCACUCUUUCAAACCUUGGUAUGUUUGGUGUUGAUCGCUUUGAUGCAAUUCUGCCUCCAGGAACUGGAGCAAUCAUGGCUGUUGGAGCAUCCCAACCAAGUGCAGUUGCUACCAAGGAUGGCCGGAUUGGUGUGAAAAACAAAGCCACAUUACUUCUGUCUUUGUGCUAGAUUUGAAUCUAUUAGUUGUUGCCCAGUGACCCGCGAAGAAGUGGAAGGAAGAGCUGUUGACUCUAGGAGUUGCUGGCAGUGAACCUGACAUUGACGGAGAGGAAAUUGCUCCUCUCGCUAAGGAGAAUGUGGCUACUCCUUGAAAUCUCAAGUCAACCGACACUAACCUAAGCUUUUUACAACUAACCGUAUCUUUGUAAUUCAUGGAUCCAUUGGCUAGUCACAGUCCCAAGAUGGAAGCACAAUAUUUUUUGGUUAUGGAAGUCCAAUUCUCUUACUACGAAGAGAUGUAAUCUUUUAUGUAUGCAACAGACUGAUAGUCUACUCACCCCA